GCAGAGUAUUGGAGUGUUUGGAUAGCAUUACUAUUAUCUCAAAUAAUAUUUCGUUUCCCAAUCAGACUAGCAUUCAUUUGAUUGUAAGGUGAGGCAUUUGAAAUUAACUGCUGAUGUAUUAGUAUUAAAUUGUUCUUUCCCUUUCUCCCUUCUCCUUUGCCUCUUUAAUUCUACUCCAACAUGAUCAUUUUACGAGAAAUCCUCUGUGGCCUGCACAUCCAUCCGUCCCACU
rnacentral:lncRNA from 1 species